AUUGAACGCUGGCGGCAGGCCUAACACAUGCAAGUCGAACGAGCGGCGGACGGGUGAGUAAUGUCUGGGGAACUGCCCGAUAGAGGGGGAUAACUACUGGAAACGGUAGCUAAUACCGCAUACUAUCCGAUGAACCCAUAUGGGAUUAGCUAGUAGGUGGGGUAACGGCUCACCUAGGCGACGAUCUCUAGCUGGUCUGAGAGGAUGAUCAGCCACACUGGAACUGAGACACGGACCAGACUCCUACGGGAGGCAGAAGUGGGGAAUAUUGCACAAUGGGCGCAAGCCUGAUGCAGCCAUGCCGCGUGUAGGAAGAAGGCCUUAGGGUUGUAAAGUAAUUUCAGCGGGGAGGCGUUACACGCAGAAGAAGCACCGGCUAACUCCGUGCCAGCAGCCGCGGUAAUAC
rnacentral:rRNA from 1 species